rnacentral:rRNA from 1 species
GGAGGAUCCGAGCGNUAUCCGGACUUANNGGGUNUAAAGGGAGCGUAGGNGGACNGGUAAGNCAGUNGUGAAAGNNNGCGGCNCAACCGUAAAANCGCAGUCGAUACUGUCAGUCUNGAGNACAGUAGAGGNGGGCGGAAUUCGUGGUGUAGCGGUGAAAUGCUUAGAUAUCACGAAGAACUCCGAUCGCGAAGGCAGCUCACUGGACUGCAACUGACACUGAUGCUCGAAAGUGUGGGNAUCAAACAGGAUUAGAUACCCUGGUAGUCCACACAGUAAACGAUGAAUACUCGCUGUUUGCGAUAUACAGUAAGCGGCCAAGCGAAAGCAUUAAGUAUUCCACCUGGGGAGUACGCCGGCAACGGUGAAACUCAAAGGA